rnacentral:rRNA from 1 species
AGGACGAACGCUGGCGGCGUGCUUAACACAUGCAAGUCGAACGGUAAGGCCUUUCGGGGUACACGAGUGGCGAACGGGUGAGUAACACGUGGGUGAUCUGCCCUGCACUUUGGGAUAAGCCUGGGAAACUGGGUCUAAUACCGAAUAUGACCAUUGGUUGCAUGACUGGUGGUGGAAAGCUUUUGCGGUGUGGGAUGGGCCCGCGGCCUAUCAGCUUGUUGGUGGGGUUAAGGCCUACCAAGGCGACGACGGGUAGCCGGCCUGAGAGGGUGUCCGGCCACACUGGGACUGAGAUACGGCCCAGACUCCUACGGGAGGCAGCAGUGGGGAAUAUUGCACAAUGGGCGCAAGCCUGAUGCAGCGACGCCGCGUGAGGGACGACGGCCUUCGGGUUGUAAACCUCUUUCAGUAGGGACGAAGCGCAGUGACGGUACCUACAGAAGAAGCGCCGGCUAACUACGUGCCAGCAGCCGC